rnacentral:rRNA from 1 species
CCUACGGGAGGCAGCAGUGAGGAAUAUUGGUCAAUGGGCGGGAGCCUGAACCAGCCAAGCCGCGUGAGGGAAGAAGGUACAGCGUAUCGUAAACCUCUUUUGUCAGGGAACAAAGGCGGGGACUAGUCCCCGGAUGAGGGUACCUGAAGAAAAAGCAUCGGCUAACUCCGUGCCAGCAGCCGCGGUAAUACGGAGGAUGCGAGCGUUAUCCGGAUUUAUUGGGUUUAAAGGGUGCGCAGGCGGCCUGUUAAGUCAGCGGGAAAAGCCCGGGGCUCAACCCCGGCGAGCCGUUGAAACUGGCGGGCUGGAGUUGGAGAGAAGUACGCGGAAUGCGCGGUGUAGCGGUGAAAUGCUUAGAUAUCGCGCAGAACCCCGAUUGCGAAGGCAGCGUACGGGCUCCACACUGACGCUGAGGCACGAAAGCGUGGGUAUCGAACAGGAUUAGAUACCCGAGUAGUC